UCUCCGUUGGUGAACCAGCGGAGGGAUCAUUACCGAAGUUACCUUCAAAACCCACUGUGGACCUUACCUCUUGCCGCGUUGUCUCGGCGGGAGGCGGUGUGCGUCGCGCGCCCUAGCGGGCCGCGCCGCUCCCGUCCCCGCCGGCAGCGCCAAACUCUAAAUGCACAGCGGACUGUACGUUCUGAUUUACAAAAAAAACAAGUUAAAACUUUCAACAACGGAUCUCUUGGUUCUG
rnacentral:misc_RNA from 1 species